rnacentral:SRP_RNA from 1 species
GCCAGGCAUGGUGGCACUGCCUGUAGUCCCAGCUACUCAGGAGGCUGAGGUGGGAGGAUCUCUUGAGCCCAGGAGUUCUGGGCUGUAGUGCGCUACGCCGAUCUGGUGUCCGCACUAAGUUCGACAUCAAUAUGGUGACCUCCUAGGAGCAAGGGACCACCAGGUUGCCUAAGGAGGGGUGAACAGGCCCAGGUUGGAAACAGAGCAGGUCAGUACUCCCAUGUUGAUCAGUAGUGGGAUCGCACCUGUGAAUAGCGACUGCACUACAGCCUGGGCAACAUAGCGAGACACUGUCUCU